rnacentral:lncRNA from 1 species
UGUUUUAAAAGAUACUUGAAUAUUAUAAGUUAAUUUUUUUCUUCUAUGGAAGUUAUAGAUCAAACUUUUUCUCCAAUCUGAUUAGUAGAUAGAAAAAAUGUUGAAUAGCUUGAAUGUACCUUUGCAGAGUGGAGGAGUAUGGGAGUGUGGGAGUACACUGUGAUAGCCAAUAAAUUGGGAUUAGGUUGCAGAUUGAUGAAACAUUCAGAUUUACAUCUGCAAUUGAGUUGGUUUCUUGUUUCUAAGAAAGAGUGUCAGGCACUCUUUCUAGAAGUGAGUCAAUGUUUUGACAGUAUCACACUGGAGAGUUUGAAAAUAGUAACAACCUGUGAGAAUAAAGAAAGCUGUUUGAGAGGCAUUGUAUAAGGGUGCAAGUGGUGAAAGAGUAUUUCUAUUGCCCAAGUAAGACAGAUCUUGGACUGCCAAUGGGGAAGUCGGAAAAUGUGUCUAAGGUCAGUGAACAAGGUUGUAGAAAACCAAGUGAACUGAGAAAGAUUGAGUAACCUGAUGACAAACAAACAUCUGUAUGUCAUGCAAGUUCAUGAAUAAUGAAUGGAUCCACUUAGUGCCUAUUCAGCUAUCUCAUUAAUGGGAAUCCCAAAUUGAUUAGAGAUUUAUUUUAAAUAUUUUUUGUGUGUCACCAUGGAAAGCGUUAUGUUAGAGAUUGAUCAGCUAUUAUUUGUAUAAUAUUUUAAUAAUGAAAUUAAAUACAUUCUUCUGUUAAUUGAACUAAUUAAAUUUUAUUGAUUUAUCAAAAAUAUUUAUAGUAAAUUACUGCUUUAUGCUCUUUCUAAUUAAAAAAU